rnacentral:rRNA from 1 species
AGGGUGAUGCCUGCCCAAUGGUUGUAUCUAAAAGCGGUUGAUAAAAGUCGACCUCGUAAGGACAAUUGAAUGGCCGCGGUAACACUGACCGUGAUAAUGUAGCGUAAUCAAUAGCCAAUUAAUUGUUGGCCAGUAUGAAUGGCGCCACGAAGGCCCCACUGUUUUAAGGAAAUUCCCAGUGAAAUUGAAUUUGUAGUGAAGAUGCUACGUCCAAUUUGUUAGACGAAAAGACCCCGUUGAGCUUUACUGGAGCACUUACAUGGCCCCGGCCUUCCCAUGCCUGGGAAUCGGCCGAAUUUAAAUGGGCGGCUUAGAUUAUGUGGCAGCCCCCCGCUGGGGCAAAUGAAACACCACUCCCCCAUGUCAAAGGGGCUAACCCCCCCCCCUUGGGGGGGACAGUGUAAGUAGGACAGUUUGGUUGGGGCGACCGCCUUUUAAAAAGUAACGAAGGUGCGCUUAAGGUGCGCAAUUAAUGACUGAAGCCUGACUGCGAGGGGGACACCCCGAGCAGACACCCCAAAGCCCGCCCGAAGGG